UACGUAGGGUGCAAGCGUUGUCCGGAAUUAUUGGGCGUAAAGAGCUCGUAGGCGGUCUGUCGCGUCGGAUGUGAAACCCAGGGCUCAACCCUGGGCCUGCAUUCGAUACGGGCAGACUAGAGUGCGGUAGGGGAGACUGGAAUUCCUGGUGUAGCGGUGAAAUGCGCAGAUAUCAGGAGGAACACCGGUGGCGAAGGCGGGUCUCUGGGCCGUAACUGACGCUGAGGAGCGAAAGCAUGGGGAGCGAACAGG
rnacentral:rRNA from 1 species